rnacentral:rRNA from 1 species
GAUCCUGGCUCAGGACGAACGCUGGCGGCGCGCCUAACACAUGCAAGUCGAACGGUGAAGAGGAGCUUGCUCCUCGGAUCAGUGGUGGACGGGUGAGUAACACGUGAGCAACCUGGCUCUAAGAGGGGGACAACAGUUAGAAAUGACUGCUAAUACCGCAUAAGCGCACAGUACCACAUGGUACGGUGUGAAAAACUCCGGUGGUAUGAGAUGGACCCGCGUCUGAUUAGCUAG